AGUUUGAUCCUGGCUCAGAUUGAACGCUGGCGGGAUGCUUUACACAUGCAAGUCGAACGGCAGCACGGACUUCGGUCUGAUGGCGAGUGGCGAACGGGUGAGUAAUGUAUCGGAACGUGCUAGUAGCGGGGGAUAAUUAUGAAAGCGUAGCUAAUACCGCAUACGCCCUUCGGGAAAGCAAUCUUCGGGCCUCGUCUGAUAGAGCGGCCGAUAUCGGAUUAGCUAGCCAGGGGUAACGGCUCACCAAGGCGACGAUCCGUAGCUGGUUUGAGAGGACGACUAGCCACACUGGGACUGAGACACGGCCCAGACUCCUACGGGAGGCAGCAGUGGGGAAUUUUGGACAAUGGGGAAAACCCCGAUCCAGCCAUCCCGCGUGUGCGAUGAAGGCCUUUCUUCACAAAAGCACUUUUGGUAGGAAAGAAACGGCACGGAUAAUACCCCGUGCAACUGACGGUACCUGCAGAAUAAGGCACCGCCAAUACGCCAGCAGCCGCGGUAAUACGUGCAAGCGUUAAUCGGAAUUACUGGGCGUAAAGCGUGCGCAGGCGGUUCUGGAAAAGAAAGAUGUGAAAUCCCAGAGCUUAACUUUGAACCGUAUUUUUAACUACCGAGCUAGGAGUGUGUCAGGAGGGAGGUGGAAUUCCGCGUGUAGUGAAAUGGCGUAGAUAUGCGGAGGAACAAUUACGGCGUAAAGGCAGCCUCCUGGGAUAACACUGACGCUCAUGCACGAAAGCGUGGGGAGCAACAGAUUAGAUAAUUCUGGUAAUCACGCCCUAAACGAUGUCAACUACGUUGGGGCCUUCGCCUUGUAGCAGCUAACGCGGUGAAGUUGACCGCCUGGGAGUACGGUCGCAAGAUUAAAACUCGCAAGGAAUUGACGGGGACUCCGCACAAGCGGUGGAUGAUGUGGAUUAAUUCGAUGUAACGCGAAAACCUUACCUACCCUUGACAUGUCUGGAAUCCCGAAGAGAUUUGGGAGUGCUCGCGCGAGAACCGGAACACAGGUGCUGCAUGGCUGUCGUCAGCCUGUGUCGAGAUGUUGGGCUAAGUCCCGCAACGAGCAACCCUUGUCAUUAUUGCUACGAAAGGGCACUCUAAUGAGACUGCCGGUGACAAACCGGAGGAAGGUGGGGAUGACGUCAAGUCCUUUAUGGCCCUGGCGCGGGUAGGGAUUCGAUCAAGCCAUACAAUGGUCGGGACAGAGGGUCGCCAACCCGCGAGGGGGAGCCAAUCCCAGAAACCCGACGGGUCCGGACCGCAGUCUGCAACUCGACUGCGUGAAGUCGGAAUCGCUAGUAAUCGCGGGAUCAGCAUGUCGCGGUGAAUACGUUCCCGGGUCUUGUACACACCGCCCGUCACACCAUGGGAGUGGGUUUUACCAGAAGUAGCAGCCUAAUAACCGUGGCGGAGGAAGAUUACCACGGUAGGAUUCAUGACUGGGGUGAAGUCGUAACAAGGUAA
rnacentral:rRNA from 1 species